rnacentral:lncRNA from 10 species
CUUCAGCCUCAUCUACUGCACACUUGAGUCCAUGAGAUUUUAGAGUGCCCCGCCACCUGCCUUCUACCUGGAGCCUUCCUUCCAGGUCCUUCUUCAACAUCAGCUCCAGGAUCUGCAAGAUCUUUGGAUAUGGCCGCUGCAGAAGGAAGGAGAACCACUUCCUGGAGAAGCAGGAGUGAGCCAGGAUCUGCCACACAAGAGAGCCGGGAACCCAGGGCAUGGGUUAAGGCGAGGAGCAGGUCCGGAGGGAAGAUCUGAGGCAAAGAGAGAGCCUGUCACCUGUGCUGCCUUGAGAUGCUGACAUCUGAGGAUGCCCCAGACAGGGCCUGUGGCUGCUUUCUGAAAUAGUGCAGCACCUUCUCUGCUUCCUCCUCAACCUUCUCCUUCACAGCAGAACCCUGCCUCCUUCCUCUCCCCACAGGCUUGUUUCAGCAUUGAUUUGAUCAACUGAGCACCACGAGAACACAAACCACAUUCCUUUGUUUUUUCAUCACGUUACCCCCAGCACUUAGGACAGUGCCUGGCACAAAGGAGGUAGUCUGUAAAUAUUUGCGUAAUGAAUGAAUAAAGGAGGGCAUGAGUACAUCUCCUCUG